GACAUGUCAGGUUUCAUUGAGAAUAUGUCACCUUUAAGCAACAAUGUGGCAAGUGAUGUGGAGUUUCCGGUGGAUGCUGAUAGCCAAGAUGCAGAAAGACGAGCUGCUGCUGGAGC